UUUCCUUGACAAAGAUUCACUAAUUACUUUGUAAUUCAACCUAGACAUUACGGAAACAUAUAUCUAUGUUCUUCUAUGAUGGUUAACUCUCCUAUUUUAUUGCAGACGGGCACAGGGUUCAUUAAAAUGGAGAAUGCAAAUGGAAUGUGCUUCACCCUAACACAUGAUGCUCCUUCCGGCUGCCACGGCCCUUGCAAGGCCAAUCCAGCGACAAAUGACUGGAUCCCGGG
rnacentral:lncRNA from 1 species